AUCACCCUGUGAAAACCAAUUACAAUUCAUUUAUCAGUAAGUGUCUGUGCAGAUGCAUUUGUCUCCAACACAAAAAUCUAAACAACAACAAAAUAAUCAAAGUAUCUCUAGAAGAUGAGAAACAAAUGUUUGAUUUAGUAACAUCAUAGGUAAGGCUGAUGCAGAGUAUUAUUCACGAUCUUUAAACAUUGCUAUUUCAAAAGUUAUCUUCUAAAGGCAUCUCAAGUGUAUUCCUGGUUUGUAUAUCUACUUUUGACUGCAUAUGCAAAAGAUGAAAAAAAUUUGUGAACACACUGUACAAAUAAGCACAAAGUACACUUACUCAAUGUCUGAUGAAACACACUCUGCAUACCCUCCAUGUCAAUUUUUAUAUCCUGAAAAAUCGAGGCUAAAUAAACUUUUAAGGCUACUGCAUCUGUUAAAUUGGGUACAAUAACUGCCAUUUCAUCUAUGCUGAGACACAGAAAUAGUAAUAAAUAGUUGAUAUAAUUAAGGUACCUGAGACUAACAUACGUAGAAGGGCAUCUUUUUCAGCCAGCUUUUUUUCCAAAAUGGGGAGUACAAUCACCACAGAUAGAAAGAACACCAACCUUGCUUUUUUUGAAUUCUUCUCCAAAUAUUGGAAAAAGGAGACAGUUUCUAUCCACGAGAUAUGCAUAACUUACCAGGCUUUGGAUUUUUUUUUUUUUCAAAAAUAAAUUGCAGCUUUGAAAGCUUAGUUGAAAGUGUAAAGCAACGUACACUUUCAGAAGAUACAUUGUCGUGCGCUGUGAUAAAACCAGGCAUCAUUUCUUUCUCAGAUUAUGUACUGAAAUUAUAAUUCUGUGAAUACAACAGUAAUUGGACCUGCCCUUUGAAAAGGAACAGAGGGAAAGCUGGACUUCUGUAGUGUUUUGCAUGCAAGUACAGGAUAUAGGUGAGCAAGAAUAAUCUCGGACUGAGGUUUAACAGCAGGUGUUAAGAGCAUGGUACACUCAAUAAAGCUGUUGUGAGAGAGUGAGGAAUAGCAUUACAAGGAAUGUCACAAACUUCAAAUGCAUCAGCAUGCUUUGACAAGGUUAAAUGCAGUGAAAUACCAUGCUUCACUACAAGUCAUUUUCCACCACUAUCAGAGCACAUGAACACAUUUUCCCAAGGAUACCCUAGAAGCUAGCACUUACUUGUUCAUCAGAUCAAACCCCUGAUCAGAGAGGAGCGCUCCAAAUCUCUUGCGUAGAUUGUUAUAGGGAUAUUCUGUGAAUGUCAUCUUCUUUACUGCUGGCAGCUCAUUGUAACCAGGCCAGAUUUUUUCGCUUGGAGUACCCAGAUCCUGUAAAUUAAAUUAUCUCCUUAAUAAACUCAUUCUAGAGUGCAA